AUCACCGCGUGCGCUGCCCGGACGCCAGCUAAGCUGAGCUGGGGUGGGCGAGUGUCCCGUGGCCGUCUCGCUGGAGCGGUGCCGUCCCCAGCAGGUAGAGCUGGGGACCGGAGCACUGGCUGUGUUCGCUGUCUCUCCUGGAGCAUCUUCCUCCCUUCAAGACUGCCCAGAACCAUAGCAUGCAGAGCCCAGCCAUCACACUGUGCUCGUUCUCAGAAGCAAAGAAAGCAUGCUCGAGUCUUCUUGGGACCAAAGGUGGCAUCAAAACAGCCCCAGAAAUUGCAUGUAUUAACUGCAAGUUUUCCAAAUCUUCUGCUCCUUGGCAGAUGCUAUAGUGACCAGCCGAGGCCACCUGUUCUGUACCCCUACCUUACUAAGUCAUCCUGUGGCUGCACAACACAUUCUUAUUUUCUUGAAUCAGAUUCUGCCUCUGGUUCACAAGUGCUGUUCCUCAGUCUCUUCCCAGGCUAGAUAGAUCACCAUGUCACUGCCUCAUUGAGAAACUUUUAAUGUCCUGUUCACCACUGGAAAAUGGACAGAUGAAAUGUCACACACACAGUAGAAUAUUAUUCAGCUUUAACAAGGGAGAAUUUGAUACAUGCUACAGCACACAUGAACCUUGAAGACAUUGUGGCACAUGGAAUUAAGCCAGACA
rnacentral:lncRNA from 1 species